AAAUAAAAUAAUGGUUGAUUAAACACAGCCAGAAACACCAAUAAAGAUGAAAGACGAAGUUAUUGGACUUUUAUUGACAUUAUCAUAUAUUUCUAAUAGUUUUUCCGACCUGUUCACAUAUUAACAAGCUUGAAAAGUUACCUAUUCCAGCGGCAUGUCCUAUCAUCUUGUAUAUAAAGAGUAGACACCCCAGGGACUGAUCAU
rnacentral:lncRNA from 1 species